GUGAGGAAUUUUCCGCAAUGGGCGAAAGCCUGACGGAGCAAUGCCGCGUGAAGGAUGAAGGCCUAUGGGUUGUAAACUUCUUUUCUCAGAAAAGAAUUAUGACGGUAUCUGAGGAAUAAGCAUCGGCUAACUCUGUGCCAGCAGCCGCGGUAAGACAGAGGAUGCAAGCGUUAUCCGGAAUGAUUGGGCGUAAAGCGUCUGUAGGUUGUUUAAAAAGUAUUCUGUCAAAGAUUAGGGCUUAACCCUAGAUAGGCAGAAUAAACUUUUAAGCUAGAGUUUGGUAGAGGCAGAGGGAAUUCCCGGUGGAGCGGUGAAAUGCAUAGAUAUCGGGAGGAACACCAAAGGCGAAGGCACUCUGCUGGGGCAAUACUAACACUGAGAGACGAAAGCGAGGAGAGCAAAUGGGAUUAGAAACCCGUGUAGUCC
rnacentral:rRNA from 1 species